rnacentral:rRNA from 1 species
AUUGAACGCUGGCGGCAGGCUUAACACAUGCAAGUCGAGCGAGCGGCGGACGGGAGAGUAAUGUCUGGGAAACUGCCUGAUGGAGGGGGAUAACUACUGGAAACGGUAGCUAAUACCGCAUACCAUCAGAUGUGCCCAGAUGGGAUUAGCUAGUAGGUGGGGUAAUGGGUCACCUAGGCGACGAUCCCUAGCUGGUCUGAGAGGAAGACCAGCAAAACUGGAACGUAACCACGGUCCAGAAUCCUACGAGAGGCAGCAGUGGGGAAUCUUGCACGAUGGGCGCAAGCCUAAUCCAGCCAUGCCGCGUGUGUCAAGAAGGCCUUCGGGUUGUAAAGCACUUUCAGCGAGGAAGCGUUACUCGCAGAAGAAGCACCGGCUAACUCCGUGCCAGCAGCCGCGGUAAUAC